rnacentral:tRNA from 1 species
AGGGGUUUAGGAGAAACUAGACCAAGGGCCUUCAAAGCCCUCAGCGGAGGUGUAAACCCUCCAACCCCUG